rnacentral:lncRNA from 1 species
UUUUUUUUAAGUUGAAGUAUAGUUGGUUUACAAUGUUGUACCAAUUUCUGCUGUACAGCAAAAUGACAUAUUCCCUUUCUUAUAUUAUGUUCCUCCGUAUUCUAUCCCAAGAGACUGGAUAUAGUUCCCUGUGCUUUACAGUAGGACCUCAUUGCUUAUUCAUUCUAAACGUGUAAUAGUUUGCAUCUCCUCACUGCAAACUCCCAGUUCAUCCCACUCCCUCCCUCUUGGCAACCACAAGUCUAUUCUGUAAAGACAGCCUAUUUUUAAUGAAACAAUGGCAAAAUAGCCAUACGUGAUCUUAUUCAUUCAACGAUAUGCCUUUUUAGUGCUACAGGGAAGUAGGUAUGAAGGUGACUUUGCUGGUAAUAAUAGCAUGUUCUUGAACGCCUGCUGUGGGUCUUCACCGUGCAACACACUUCACCUGUGCCAAGGGAUGCAUAGGCAACAAGCCUCUGGAGUUCAGGUGAGGGAGCCAUGGUGCUGAGCCAGUGGUUCACAGAAGACUUGAUGGAAGGGGUGACAUUUGAGCAGAGACCAUAAGACUGGCAAAACCCUGGGACAAAGAGAGGAUGGGUGAGGCCACAGGGGACCUGUAGGGGAGGAGUCUGAGGAGGCUUUAGGCAAGUUUGCUACCAGAGGGGAGGGACUGGGGAAAGGAUGGCGCAGGUGACACACCAGAUUACAGCAAGCUUGAAAUGUCCACCUAAGGAUAAGGGACAAUAAGUAGUCAAGAUUUUUAGAUAGCUUUUUGGGGAAUCCCAAGGAAAGGAUGAUUGGAAAUGUGCAGUGAAUUUGGUGAAUGGCAAAUGAUUAUCAGAGAAGCCCUGCAUCUCCUACAGGACUUGCAGGGACUGCUUCCACGGCCAGGGUAGGAGCUUACUCCUCAUUGAUUUAAGCUUCAGGGAAAUAACUGGGAAUACCCUUGUGGCUUAGCAGAUUAAAGACCCAACUUUGUCUCUGUGAGGAUGCGGGUUCCACCCCUGGCCCUGCUCAGUGGAUAAAAGGAUCAAGUGCUGCCACAAGCUGUGGCAUAGAUUGCUAACACAGCUCGCAUCCACUGUUGUUGUGCCUGUGGUGCAGGCCGGCAGCUGCAGCUUUGAUUUGACUCCUAGCCUGGAAACUUCCAUAUGCCACAGUGUGGCCAUAAGAAAAAAAAUUUUAAUGAAAAAAUGUUUUAAAAAGGAAUUAGCUGGUUCAAGGAAGUCAAGAGUCCAGAAUAAGGUUGGUGGCUUAAGACAGAGCCAGAUUGGAAGCUCAAGCCAGCCCAUGGGUCUGGGUCAUGGUCUCUCCAUCUCGUAGCUUCUCUCUAUCCAAUGUAGGCAUCUUAGAUGGCUCCCCCUGUUCCCCCAGGCCAGGCCCUGUCCUCUCUGCUGUAUUUGUUACAAGAGUCAGUCUCUUUCAACAGAAAUGCCAACCCACCUGGAAUCCACUCUCUUGGUCCCAAUAUCCCCAUUUGCCCACCUUUGAACCAAUGUCUGAGACCAGAGAGUCACAGGACUCUGCUGAGCCAGCCCUGAGCUCUGACCCCACAUCUGGGGUAGGGGGUUGCACCCUGAGGACUAGGAGUGUGAGGAGCAGGUCCUUAGAAAAGAAACCAAAAACCAAGAGUUCCCAUCGUGGCUCAGCAGUUAACAAAUCUGACUAGCAUCCAUGAGGACGCAGGUUCAAUCCCUGGCCUUGCUCAGUGGGUUAAGGAUCUGGCGUUGCCGUGAGCUGUGCUAUAGAUUGCAGACUCGGCUUGGAUCCUGAGUUGCUAUGUCUGUGGCAUAGGCUGGGGCUACAGCUCAGAUUCAACCCCUAGCUUGGGAACCUCCAUAUGCCGCGGAUGUGACCCCCCCAAAAAAAAGAAAAAAAGAAACCCAAAACCAGGAUAUUGUCACCAGAAAGUGGGGGGCCAUUGGUCUGGUAGGCAAAAACAACAGCUGUCCACAACAGCAGCUCCAGGAAACCAGGCAGAUGGAGAGCCACUGGGAAUGCACAGGGUUGGCAUCCGUUUGCUGAGGCGCCAGGAUCGGGAGGAUCCUCCACAACUAGGUGCUGCUUGUUGUCCUCGGGUGUCUGGGCCCGUAGUGGGAUUAGCAGUUGCUAAGAGGAGUCCUCAGGAGGAGCGGAUAUGAGUCUCCGGGUGGGCUGGGGGAGUGGAGUGGAUUGCAGGAAGGAGUUCUGGGAGCUGAGAGCCAGAGGAAGCAUUCAAUGUGUUCAUUUCAGCAGUGUCAGGCCUGCCAAACCAGGGUGAGAUUUGUAUGCCUGAUUUUCCUUGCAGAAUGUUGUUCCUGUGCAAAUCAAGUUGCUGCAAACACAUAUCUGCCCCACUUAGGCUUAAAUCCUGCAUUUCAGCAAGUCUGCUGCUCUUAGUGCUCAGGAAUACUCAGACCUUCUCCUAACUGAUGCACUGAUGAUGGAAGGAUGAGGAGUCUUUGCUUGACCAAGAGUAUCUUUUUUGGCCACCUCACAGCCUGUGGAGUACCCGGGCCAGGGAUCAGAUGUGAGCUGCCGUUGCAACCUUACACUGCAGCUGCAGUAAUGCUGGCUCCUUCAACCCACUGUGCCGGGCUGGGGAUCAAACCUGUAUCCUAGCACUGCAGAGAUGCUGUUGAUCCCAUUGCACCACAGUGUGAACUCCAACCCAAGGUAUCUUUGAGAGCCAGGAUUUUCAGAGAAAGGGGUUGGCCCUUCUUAGUCACAAAUAGAUCCUAGUGAACAGUUUUCAUGAAGGUCAUCUAGAAGUCAUCCACACAGGCUCUGGAACCACUGGCAGCUCUUCAGAGGCUCUGGUUUAAAGUGCAUCCCAUGUAGACCCACCCCCUAGCUCAAUCCUGAUUGCUUAUAUAUGCAUCUGGUGAAGGGUUUUCAUUUCUUUUGUUGUUUAAGCAGUACCAAAGCCUAGAUGGCCCUUAAAUGGAGUACCUCUGUUAGACAGUCCCUCUGUUUUGGGGCCUCGAUUUCCUAAUCUAUAAAAUUGAUGUGCCUGGGCUACAUAAUUGCUCUUGGUACUCUCUGUAUGUAAAUAUCCUGAGAUUUGAAUUUAUAAAAUCUAGCUAACCCGUCUGGAGGAUCCCAAGAAGCCUGUUAGGUUGAACAUCAAAUAGACAGAUCUUCCUAACUUCUGGUGGGUUAGGGUUCCCAUAAAGUCAUCACAAUUUGAAAAUACCAUUAAGUUGAAGAGUUCCUGUUGUGGUUCAGCAGGUUAAGAACCCAACUAGUAUCCAUGAGGAUGCAGGUUUGAUCCCUGGCCUCAAUCACUCAAAUUCGACCCCUAGCCUGGGAAAUUCCAUAUGGCACAAGUGCGGCCCUGAAAAACAAAACAAAACAAAACAAAAAGUUCUUACUUGGGAGUGAUUUUUGCACCCAGGGAACAACUGUGGAGACCCUUUUGGUUGCCACAAAGGCAGUGCUAUGAGUGGUGAGGGGUUAGAGGUCAGGGCCUCUAACCCCUGCCUACAGCACGUGGUAUAGCUCCCUGAACAAAGUCUGAUCCACUGAAAUGUCAAUCAGUAUUGUCGAGGCUGAGCAGCUCUGUCUUUGGGUGUUCAAGUUUGUCAUGUUAUCAUCAAUCUGAUCCUCUAAGCUUCAUAUCUCCUUGGUUCAGCUGAGAAGUUGCUAACAGCUGUUUUUCAGGAGUCUCAUGAACUAGCUACAUAUUUUCUGGUUUUUCAUUUUGACUUUCCCUUAAUAUAUGAACCACUUUCUAUGCUGUGACACAUGGUUACCAAAGCUUUUUUUCUCCCCCCUUUCUUCUCUCUUGUGUUUCUUUAUGCCAUACUAGUUUGAAGUGGGGGCGAGAGGGACAUCUGUUUGGGCCUGAGCCUCUGGAGGAGGCCCUAAAAAUGUCUUGAGAAGAACUGAGUUGGAGACCAAAGAGGCGGCUACGUGUGAAGGCCCUGGGCAGCCCUCUCAGCUCCAGAAAGAUGAUGCUAAAAGAAGCGCUAAGUGCUCCCAUCUUGUGUUUAUACUAUUCCUAUUCCAUAAAGGGAAAAAAAAAAAAAACCUUAAAUUAAAUUAAGAGGUGCUUACCAGCCUUUAAGAGUUGGAGCUUUCUUUGUAAUUUUCCAGAGCCAGUUGGCCAACCAGAGGGCUGUGGCAUUUACGAGAUGAACACAAUGUACAUGUGAAAUGAUGGCGUCUGAGUUACCAAACUAUUUAUUUCAUUGAAAUUUGUUCCAUUUCCCCCAGAUGAUGAACUGUUCAUGCGUGACUUAUCUUGAGUUUGGCUUGACAAAAGUCUGUGUGUUGCUGGAAAAGGAAGACAGGAGAAAACAAAUUGAUAAUACAGAGGGUUAGAUCUACAAAUGACCCAUCUCCCCGUCUGUGUGAUUUUAGGAUGAGAGGUGGUGAUAUCAUGAUUUUGGUUUAAAUGCACUUUGGAGAAAUGGUAUAAAGAGAUUUCCUCUAAUGGACAAAUAGAAGCAACUUAGAAUUUCAGUCUCAUGACUUCAAGAAAAAAAUUUCUAACUAGCAGUAUGAAUCCUAUACCAAGCUCUCUAAUGGACGGCUUGUUAGAUAAAAUAACUGUAAAAACUUGAACUCAAGGUCGGCUAUAGUUGCUAUAAAUCAUUUGGAAGUCAAGAUUCAUAUGAGAAUUAGUUUCAUGCUUUUUAGGGUACUAUACAAAGUCUAUAUCGGAGGGUACUUUAGUGUAACUUCAUUUUGCUGACCUGGAGGGGGCAAGGAGGGAGUUUGACCAGAAAUAUCAAAUGCCCUAGAGGCUGAGGUUGUUCUAGAUGAGCAGGUGGUGACUCUAACUUGUUCAUUUGAAACAACUAACCAACCAAGUUGUCUCUGAUCCUCCUCCUAAUUAACCACAAGAGCAACAAGCUCACUGAGCCCAUCUCAGGAGGCACUGGCUCUUUAUCAAUAGAUUUCUUUUUAUGAGGGCUCUUAACCAAUAUCUUCUUUUUUAAUUUUAAUUAAAGUAUAGUUGAUUUAUAGUGUUGUUCCAAUUUCUGUUGUAUAGCAAAUGGACCCAGUCAUACAUAUUUAUAAAUAUAUACACACACACAUUAUUUUUCUCAUAUUGUCUUCCAUCAUGUUCUGUCACAAGUGAUUGGAUAUAGUUCCCUGUGCUAUACAUCAGGUUAACCAAGAUUUUCUGAUAAAAUCCCCAUUUUGAAGGUGUUUUGUCCACUACCACCUUGAUUUCCAAAUUAAGUGUUUUAUAAGUGACACAUGCCCUGACAAGUUUGCCUAAGUGACUUGUCUCAGACUGGUCACAAUAUUGGCUUAAGGAUUUGGGAGGGUUUGCUCCAGAAGAAAUCUAAGGGGAAGUGGAAAUUGUUUUUUU